rnacentral:rRNA from 1 species
CGGGGAGCACCACAACAGGUGGAGCCUGCGGUUUAAUCGGACUCAACGCCGGGAAACUCACCAGAUAAGACAGCUGAAUGAUAGUCGGGCUGAAGACUCUACUUGACUAGCUGAGAGGAGGUGCAUGGCCGUCGUCAGUUCGUACUGUGAAGCAUCCUGUUAAGUCAGGCAACGAGCGAGACCCAUGCCAACAGUUGCCAGCUCGUCCUCCGGGAUGGUGGGGACACUGUUGGGACCGCCUCUGCUAAAGAGGAGGAAGGAAUGGGCAACGGUAGGUCAGCAUGCCCCGAAUUAUCUGGGCUACACGCGGGCUACAAUGGGUGGGACAAUGGGUAUCGACACCGAAAGGUGAAGGCAAUCUCCUAAACCCAUCCGUAGUUCGGAUUGUGGGCUGCAACUCGCCCACAUGAAGCUGGAAUCUGUAGUAAUCGUGUCUCAAAAUGGCACGGUGAAUAUGUCCCUGCUCCUU